GACGAACGCUGGCGGCGUGCCUAAUACAUGCAAGUAGAACGCUGAAGGAGGAGCUUGCUUCUCUGGAUGAGUUGCGAACGGGUGAGUAACGCGUAGGUGACCUGCCUGGUAGCGGGGGAUAACUAUUGGAAACGAUAGCUAAUACCGCAUAAGAGUAGAUGUUGCAUGACAUUUGCUUAAAAGGUGCAAUUGCAUCACUACCAGAUGGACCUGCGUUGUAUUAGCUAGUUGGUGGGGUAACGGCUUACCAAGGCGACGAUACAUAGCCGACCUGAGAGGGUGAUCGGCCACACUGGGACUGAGACACGGCCCAGACUCCUACGGGAGGCAGCAGUAGGGAAUCUUCGGCAAUGGACGGAAGUCUGACCGAGCAACGCCGCGUGAGUGAAGAAGGUUUUCGGAUCGUAAAGCUCUGUUGUAAGAGAAGAACGAGUGUGAGAGUGGAAAGUUCACACUGUGACGGUAUCUUACCAGAAAGGGACGGCUAACUACGUG
rnacentral:rRNA from 1 species